UGUGAUUCGUCACACUAUCAUUAACUGAAUCCAUAGGUUAAUGAGGCGAACCGGGGGAACUGAAACAUCUAAGUACCCCGAGGAAAAGAAAUCAACCGAGAUUCCCCCAGUAGCGGCGAGCGAACGGGGAGGAGCCCAGAGCCUGAAUCAGCAUGUGUGUUAGUGGAAGCGUCUGGAAAGGCGCGCGAUACAGGGUGACAGCCCCGUACACAAAAGCGCAUGUGCUGUGAGCUCGAUGAGUAGGGCGGGACACGUGGUAUCCUGUCUGAAUAUGGGGGGACCAUCCUCCAAGGCUAAAUACUCCUGACUGACCGAUAGUGAACCAGUACCGUGAGGGAAAGGCGAAAAGAACCCCGGCGAGGGGAGUGAAAAAGAACCUGAAACCGUGUACGUACAAGCAGUGGGAGCACCCUUUGGGUGUGACUGCGUACCUUUUGUAUAAUGGGUCAGCGACUUAUAUUCUGUAGCAAGGUUAACCGAAUAGGGGAGC
rnacentral:rRNA from 1 species